rnacentral:rRNA from 1 species
AUUGAACGCUGGCGGCAGGCCUAACACAUGCAAGUCGAACGAGUGGCGGACGGGUGAGUAAUGUCUGGGAAACUGCCUGAUGGAGGGGGAUAACUACUGGAAACGGUAGCUAAUACCGCAUACCAUCGGAUGUGCCCAGAUGGGAUUAGCUAGUAGGUGGGGUAAAGGCCCACCUAGGCGACGAUCCCUAGCUGGUCUGAGAGGAUGACCAGCCACAGUGGAACUGAGAAACGGUCCAGGCUCCUACGGGGGGCAGCAGUGGGGAAUAUGGCAAAGUGGGCGCAAGCCUGAUGCAGCCAUGCCGGGUGUAUGAAGAAGGCCUUCGGGUUGUAAAGUACUUUCAGCGGGGAGACGUUACCAGCAGAAGAAGCACCGGCUAACUCCGUGCCAGCAGCCGCGGUAAUU